CCAGAAGCCGCGUCGGCCGUGAGGUCGGCGCCUUCGCCCAACCCUUUGUGAACGAUAUUGAUUGCCUCGGGGGGACCCGCGCCCACACGGGCGUGGCCCCCCGGUGGCCCCCCAUAACUCUUGUUGUAUCUGCCGUCUGAGUCGCAAAUGCAAAUGAAACA
rnacentral:misc_RNA from 2 species